UACGGAGGGUGCAAGCGUUUAUCCGGAUUCACUGGGUUUAAAGGGUGCGUAGGCGGGCAGGUAAGUCCGUGGUGAAAUCUCUGAGCUUAACUCAGAAACUGCCAUGGAUACUAUUUGUCUUGAAUGUUGUGGAGGUAAGCGGAAUAUGUCAUGUAGCGGUGAAAUGCUUAGAUAUGACAUAGAACACCAAUUGCGAAGGCAGCUUACUACACAAAUAUUGACGCUGAGGCACGAAAGCGUGGGGAUCAAACAGG
rnacentral:rRNA from 1 species